UACCAGCUGGCUGCAACUGUUUAUUAAAAACACAGCACUGUGCAAACACGAAAGUGGACGUAUACGGUGUGACGCCUGCCCGGUGCCGGAAGGUUAAUUGAUGGGGUCAGCGCAAGCGAAGCUCCUGAUCGAAGCCCCGGUAAACGGCGGCCGUAACUAUAACGGUCCUAAGGUAGCGAAAUUCCUUGUCGGGUAAGUUCCGACCUGCACGAAUGGCGUAAUGAUGGCCAGGCUGUCUCCACCCGAGACUCAGUGAAAUUGAACUCGCUGUGAAGAUGCAGUGUACCCGCGGCAAGACGGAAAGACCCCGUGAACCUUUACUAUAGCUUGACACUGAACAUUGAGCCUUGAUGUGUAGGAUAGGUGGGAGGCUUUGAAGCGUGGACGCCAGUCUGCGUGGAGCCGACCUUGAAAUACCACCCUUUAAUGUUUGAUGUUCUAACGUGGACCCGUUACCCGGGUUGCGGACAGUGUCUGGUGGGUAGUUUGACUGGGGCGGUCUCCUCCUAAAGAGUAACGGAGGAGCACGAAGGUUGGCUAAUCCUGGUCGGACAUCAGGAGGUUAGUGCAAUGGCAUAAGCCAGCUUGACUGCGAGCGUGACGGCGCGAGCAGGUGCGAAAGCAGGUCAUAGUGAUCCGGUGGUUCUGAAUGGAAGGGCCAUCGCUCAACGGAUAAAAGGUACUCCGGGGAUAACAGGCUGAUACCGCCCAAGAGUUCAUAUCGACGGCGGUGUUUGGCACCUCGAUGUCGGCUCAUCACAUCCUGGGGCUGAAGUAGGUCCCAAGGGUAUGGCUGUUCGCCAUUUAAAGUGGUACGCGAGCUGGGUUUAGAACGUCGUGAGACAGUUCGGUCCCUAUCUGCCGUGGGCGCUGGAGAACUGAGGGGGGCUGCUCCUAGUACGAGAGGACCGGAGUGGACGCAUCACUGGUGUUCGGGUUGUCAUGCCAAUGGCACUGCCCGGUAGCUAAAUGCGGAAGAGAUAAGUGCUGAAAGCAUCUAAGCACGAAACUUGCCCCGAGAUGAGUUCUCCCUGAGACUUUAGGUCUCCUGAAGGAACGUUGAAGACGACGACGUUGAUAGGCCGGGUGUGUAAGCGCAGCGAUGCGUUGAGCUAACCGGUACUAAUGAACCGUGAGGCUUAACCUUACAACGCCGAAGCUGUU
rnacentral:rRNA from 1 species